UGGAACAAAUAAGAGAAGUGAAAUAACAAGCAACUAAUAAUAUCAGAGCGAGUAAAGUUCUAACAUCUAUACUAAUAGUAAUAGAACAUAACUAAUGCGUAAAAGUAAACAUAAGCUAUACAGUAACAGCCUCUAGUACAAAAAUGGUGGUCUCUAGUACACUGGUAAAACUCUCAACCUCUCCAAAACAAAAUACGACGAGAGGUAGACCACCUAGCGAAUCGUUCUCGAAGGAAGCUAGCUCGAAGCAACUCCCUUCCCGCGGUCCCUGGCCUCACCCUGAGUGGAAGGCUCUGAAAAAUAUCGAGAAAAAGAGGGCGUGAGAACUAUAAUUUAUAGUUCCCAGUGGGCAAUUACUGACCUCAGCUCCUGCUCCACUAGGCCCCAAAAACAAGGGUAAAUAACGUUAAUAGCAAUAAGCAAUGAAAAGGAGCAUGUAAAUAAACUGCUGAAAGAGAAAGCAUAGGUAAAAUGCUAUACCACUAUACCCCACAUAAGCACGAUGUCAAAGUGUUGUACAUCUAUUCUAUCAUAAGGAAAAGUGACCAAUGGCAAUAGUUUACUGUUACAAACCUUUAUUCAUACGUGAUGUAUAAGCUCUAACAAGGCAACCAAGUAUACUGUGAUGAAAUAGGUAACUGUCAAGUAUACUACAUGUCUCAACCCUAUGCUAUANNNNNNNNNNNNNNNNNNNNNNNNNNNCAAAACUAACCUCAAGAGUAGAAAUCUCUUCCAAAGCUCCAAAAGAGAGCUAGAACCCUUCCAAUCCAAGCUUAAGGAAGGUUCUAAACCAAUCAAUCAAGCCUCAAAAGCCCUAGGUUCAAAAAGCCCAAAAUAAACCCUAAAUCCCAAAACUAGGGUUUCAAAACAAUAAAAUCCCAAAUCCAAGGUCUAGAUGGAGAGAAAUGGCUACCAACCUCAAAAAAACUUCAAUCCAAGCUCAAAGGGUGAAGAUCUUCUCCUUUGCAAGCUCCAAGUCCAAGCCUUCAAGCACCAAGGAGGAUGAGAGGGUGAGGAAGAUGCUCCAAGUCCACUAAUAGCUCCAAACUUCUUCUCCUUCCCUCCUUCUUCUCCUUCUCCUUCUUCUUCUUCUUCUCUAUCAAGGGUGUAGAGAGGGUUGAGAGAGGAGAAAUGAGGAGAAGAGAGGGUGGAGGGGUCAUAUAGACCCUCUAAUGUAACAAAAUCCAACCAGGCCCCUCAAAAAUCCAAUAUUACCACAGCCCGGUCUGGGCAGUUUUCGCCCAGAGGGACCGGUCUCUCCCCAGUAGGGACCGGUCUCUCGCUGCGAAUCCGAAAAACCAGCGUUCGGGAACCGGUCUCUCCCCGCGCAGGACCGGUCUCUCACUGCGAAGACGCGCUCGGGGACCUGUCUCGCCCGCCAGGGACCGGUUGCCUCAGGCUGCCUCAACACUGUUCACUGGGGGACCGGUCUCUCCUUCCAGGGACCGGUCCCCGAGAGUAAAAACUCUCAGGACUUAUCCAGAAUUCCAGAUUUUCGAACUUUUUAGGUCGGAAAACAUUCUACAACCCUCCACCAAGUGUGGAAAAGCUCAAAAUACACUCGAACCUCGCAAUUUGCAAAGGUCCAGUGUGUUACAGGCAUCCUCGAUACACAACCUCCGGCUGCCCCGGCUCUCUAAAUGUCACAGUUCGAUACUUACAAUCGAUAGUGGCGUAGAACUUAAUCAACCAAUCCAUGCCCAACACAACAUCAAACUCCCCAAGUUUAUGCAAGGCUAGCAAGUCCACGGGAAUGAUCCAAUCUCCAACCCGAACAGGGCAACUAGGGCAAAACUCCCGAAUGUCCAAAGAAUGGUCGGGUACAACAACUCGUCCCGGAUGCAGCAAGGAUACAAGUGGGAUGCUAUGCAACUCGACAAACAGCCGGUCUAUGAAUAAAUGCAAUGCACCGGUAUCAAAUAAAGCUCUAACUCGAAUACCAUAAAGUAAAAUGAUACCUGCGACCACAUUCUCGGCUGCCGCCACCUCCUCAGUCUGGGCCGCUUACAUGCGUCCGCUCGGGGCCUGUCGUGACACCUCCGCCUGCCGCUGAACUGGCGGCCGUCCUGCCUGGUGAUGUGCAGAGGAUGUCCCCUGACUGGGACCUGGCGAUGCUGGUGCAGAUGCCGAAGAUGGUGCUGGCGAUGGACUCCUCGGGCAGUCCGACUGGAAGUGGCCCUCCUGGCCACACAAGAAACACCUGCCCCGGCUGCGUGAACACUGUCGCGGGUAGUGGGGACCACCACAGAUCACGCAGCCGGGGGCCUGGCGACGAUCGGGUCCUCCUCGCUGAGUAGACGAGCCACGUCCUCGCGACUGGCCCCGGCUCCUAGGGUGCCUCGGCGGCCUCCGUGAGUGCGUCUGACUCGCACCCUCAGCCGCGGGCCUCUUUCCCUUCCCUUUUUCUGAGCUCUCACGACGCUCCUGCAAAUCCGCCGCUCUUGCCUCCACUAUCAAUGCUCGAUCCACAACCUCUCGGUAGGUCUAGAGAUUGGAGGACUGUACCAACCGAAAGAUAGAAGGCCGCAAUCCGCGCUCAAAAAUGCGGGCCUUAUCCUUAUCAUCCCUCACAACGAACGGUACACAGUGAAGUAGCCAGGAGAACUCCUUCUCGUACUCGGCCACUGUCCGCUCGUCCUGGCGCAAGCUGCGCAAAUCCUGCUCCUUCUUCUUCUUGACGCUGGUCGGGAAGUAGUGCGCCAGAAGAAGCUCCUUGAACCUCGUCCAAGUAAUCGCUGCCAAGUCGGUGUUGGGGUUGUCCUGGAUAUGCAACCACCAACGGUAGGCCUCGCCGUCGAGAAAGUGAGUGGCGAGCCAAACUCUGUCUCGCUCCUCCACAAAGGUGUCUCGAAAAAGCUUCAUGUGCAUCAACCACUUCUCAACAAUCCAGUGGUCGGCGUUCUCGCCAUCAAACGUCCUCGGGCUGCAUCUCCUGAACUCACUGAAGCGCUCCAUGAGCCGAUCCCGCUCGGCUCCCUCGGCCCUCACGGGGAAAGCUGCCCCCGUGGCCGGUCUCUGAGCUGGGUGUGCCGCAGCCACCUCCUCCCGAGGUGUGGUCGCCGGUGCCGCAAGGGAAGAACUGGGCGCGGGGGACUGCGCCCUCGGUGCGACGUCCACCACGGGUGCUGGCGGUGUGGGAACCUGGGUCUCCCUCGAAGCUGCCUCCUGCUGAAGUAGGAAGUCCUCAAGAUGCUUCAUCCGCGCCUUCUGCCGCUGAACCACAACGAACCUGUCUAAAUAAGGCUUGAAAACACGGUUCAUCAGAUCCAUAAAAGCUGCCGGGGCAUUAGUAAGCCCAAACGGCAUAACCGUAAACUCAUAAUGUCCAUACCGUGUUCUAAAAGCCGUCUUCGGUACAUCCUCAGGUCUGAUCCUCAACUGGUGAUAUCCCGACUGCAAAUCAAUCUUGGAAUAUACACAAGAUCCCUGGAGUUGAUCAAAUAGAUCGUCGAUCCUCGGUAAUGGAUACUUGUUCUUAAUCGUGACUUUAUUAAGUUCACAAUAAUCCACACACAAACGAAGUGAUCCAUCCUUCUUCUUCACAAAUAAGACCGGUGCUCCCCAAGGUGACACACUUGGUCGCACGAAGCCCUUAUCCAGAAGAUCUUGCAACUGUGCCUUCAGUUCCUUCAACUCCGCUGGUGCCAUCCUAUAGGGUGCCUUUGAGAUUGGGGUAGUCCCGGGGACGAGAUCUACCACAAACUCAAUCUCCCUAUCAGGAGGCAUGCCUGGAAGCUCCGCUGGAAACACAUCUCCAAACUCCCGCACUACGGGGAUAUCCUCAAUCCUAGGGGCGUCAUCCUCACCCCGCAACACAAUAGUAGCCAAAUAGGCAACGCAGCCUCUACUAAUCAACUGCCGAGCUCGAGAAGAGCUAAUCGUCAUCGCAAAUAGCGAACUCUGGCAUCCUCGGUACACAACCUCCGCCUGCCCCGGCUCUCUAAAUGUCACCGUUCGAUUCUUACAAUCGAUGGUGGCAAAGUACUUGGUCAGCCAAUCCAUGCCCAACACAACAUCAAACUCCCCGAGUUUGUGCAAAGCUAGCAAGUCCACGGGCAUGAUCCAAUCUCCAAUCCUAACAGGGCAACUGGGGCAAAACUCCCGAAUGUCUAAAGAAUGAUCGGGUACAACAACUCGGCCCGGAUGCAACAAGGAUACAAGUGGGAUGCCAUGCAGCUCGGCAAACAGCCGAUCAAUGAAUGAAUGCGAUGCACCGGUAUCAAACAAAGCUCUAGCUCGAAUACCAUAAAGUAAAAUGAUACCUGCGACCACAUUCUCGGCUGCCGCCGCCUCCUCAGUCUGGGCCGCGUACAUGCGCCCGCUCGGGGCCUGUCGUGACCCCUCCGUCUGCCGCUGGACAGGUGGCCGACCGGCCUGGUGAUGCGCAGAAGAUGUCCCCUGGCUGGGACCUGGCGAUGCUGGUGCAGAUGCCGCAGAUGGCGCUGGCAAUGGACUCCUCGGGCAGUCCGACUGGAAGUGGCCCUCCUGGCCACACAAGAAGCACCUGCCCCGGCUGCGUGAACACUGCCGCGGGUAAUGAGGACCGCCACAGAUCACGCAGCGGGGGGCCUGACGACGAUCGGGUCCUCCUCGCUGAGUAGACUGGCCACGUCCUCGCGACUGGCUCCGGCUCCUGGGAUGCCUCGGCGGCCUCCGUGAGUGCGUCUGACUCGCACCCUCAGCCGCUGGCCUCUUGCCCUUGCCCUUAUCUAGGGCCUCGCGUCGCUCCUAAAGAUCUGCCGCUCCAGCCUCCACUAUCAAAGCUCGAUCCACAACCUCCCGAUAAGUCUGGAGGUUGGAAGACUGCACCAACCGGAAGAUAGAAGGCCGCAAACCGUGCUCAAAGAUGCGGGCCUUAUCUUCGUCGUCCCUCACAACAAACGGUACACAGUGUAGUAUCCGGGAGAACUCCCUCUCGUACUCAGCCACUGACCGCUCAUCCUGGCGCAAGCUGCGCAAAUCCUGCUCCAUCUUCCUCUUGACACUGGUAGGAAAGUGGUGCGCCAGUAGAAGUUCCUUGAAUCGGGUCCAAGUAAUCGCUGCCAAGUCGGUGUUGGGGUUGUCCUGGAUAUCCAACCACCAACGAUAGGCCUCGUCGUCCAGGAAGUGAGUGGCGAGCCAAACUCUGUCCCGCUCCUCCACAAAAGUGUCUCGAAACAGCUUUUUCAUAUGCAUCAACCACUUCUCGACAAUCCAGUGGUCGACGUUCUCUCCAUCAAACGUCCUCGGGCUGCACCUCCUGAACUCGCUAAGGCGCUCCAUAAGCCGAUCCCGUUCGGCUCCCCCGGCCAUCACGGGAAAAGCUGCCCCCGUGGCCGGUCUCUGAACUGGUAGUGCCGCAGCCACCUCCUCCCGAGGUGCGGUCGCCGGUGCCGCACGUGAAGAACUAGGCGCGGGGGACUGGGCCCUCGGUGCGACGUCCACCGCGGGUGCUGGCGGUGUGGGGCCCUGGGUCUCCCUCGAAGCUGCCGCCUGCUGAAGUAGGAGGUCCUCAAGAUGCUUCAUCCGCGCCUCCUGCCGCUGAGCCACCUCAGCCUGUCGCUGCGCCGCCGCCGUCUGCUGCCCCAACAAAUUAGUGAGAACCGCAAGCUGGGCCCUCAAGUCACGGACCUCGCUAGAUCCGGAAGUAGCGGAGGUCUCGACCUCCUCGGGGUGUGCCGCAUCAUCCGCCCCGGCAGACUGGGAGCGUGUAAUCGGCAUCGUCACUACAAAACAUAAAAGCGCAAGUUAGUAACCCACGCUAUCGCAUCCCCGCUCAAAUAGAUAAAACCCCAAAUCAUGCGAAAGUAAGGAAGUGUCCUUCACUACUAACUCCCGAUGUUACGUUGUCGGCCGCCAACGUAACCCUCCGCGAAGUUAGAAGCCAUACACUCCGAUCAAACUCUAACUUUUUAGAGUUGUCAUAAACCCAAUCAUAAUACUUUCGCUCACAAGUCAAUUAGACCUCGUCUCUCACGAGCCUAAUUCCUAUAGUCCAACCGGCCUAAGGUUCGCUAGGUCCACUAAGACUCAACCCUAGGCUCUGAUACCAAAUUAAUCUGUCACGCCCCGGGACCGGCGGAGGCCCUCCCGGUAGCGUGCCCAGACCCGCCAUAUGUCUACACAUAUAAGGCGUCUACAAUAAAAGCGGAAGUAAAAGCAAGUAAUAAAACAAGUAGAAGAAGUGAAAUAACUAGCAACUAAUGAUAUCAGAGCAAAUAUAGUUCUAUCAUCUACACCAAGGUAAAGAAGUAAAGCUAGACAGUAAAAGGAGUCAUAAGAAGUACAAUAUCUGUCUCAAAUGUACAAAAAUGGUGGUCUCUAGUACACUGGUAAAACACUCAACCUCUCGCAAAAUAAAACAUAAAUCGAGAGGUGGACCACCUAGCAACUCGUCCUCGAAGGAAGCUAGCUCGAAGCAACUCCCUUCCCGCGAUCCCUGGCCUCACCCUGCGUGGAAGGCUCUGAAAAACAUCGAGAAAAAGAGGGCGUGAGAACUAUAAUUUAUAGUUCCCAGUGGGCAAUUACUGACCUCAGCUCAAUGCACCACUAGGCCCCAAAAGAAAAGGGUAAGUAACGACAAUAAUAAUAAACAAUAAAGAGCGAGUAUAAGAACUGCUGAAAGAAAGCAUAAAUGAAAUGCUAUACUACUAUGUCUCAAGUAAGCAUGAUGUCAUGGUGAUGUACAUCUACGCUAUCAUAAGAUAAUAUGUCCAAUGCAUAAAGAGUAAGCUCUAACCAAGCAACCGAGUAUACUACAAUGCAACAAUGAAACCGGCAAGUGUGCUAUAUGUACCAAUGCUAUAUCAUGAGCAUGUCAAAGUAAUCCAACUACUAAACCUAUCUAGUAGUGAUUGUUCAUACUCAACACCGUGUCGAUUUCCAUUUCCAAUUAAGGACCUACCAAAGGUAGUCCAGCUUGUGCCGCCUAAGUGCCUGUGGUAGCCCAACAUCCCUACUCUUGGAAUGUGUCUGUCCCACUCGACCCCGUAGGCUUCUCAAUACCGCACGAGCGAACAAAAGUCGCGUAGGCUAACUCCGGAGUGCCGGCUUGUAGGGAGCGACCCUCACAAGCAUGUGCGAAUGAGCACAAAUGGCAAGCAAGCAUAGUCCAAGUCUCAAGUAUCCAAUUCUCAUGUCUCUAACAUGGUAUAGUCACUAGCAUCCCGAAGAUCUAGUUUUAGUCACAAUGUGAAGUUUCAACAUUUGCUAUGCCUAGUACCCCUUGAUGACACUUAGGCAAUUUGAUGUUCAACAUGUUUUUCAAAUCCCUCAAUGGCCCUAUCUACUAGGUUCACACAUGUCCUGAGCUCAAUGCCGCUUGAUGACAUUAGCUCUCUAAUUCACAUACAUCUAAGUUUGAUGUCAAUAAAUGGCAACUUGUCAUUCAUCAUAUCUCAAAUAAACCUAAGUUUAAAUGCACAAAUUAAAGCCCAUUUACACUAUAGAAGCAUGAAACCAAGUCUCAUAUAGAAUGCCAAAUGCAACACUAGAUCUGUCCAGCAACUCUCUACUACAUAGAGGUCCGAAAAUUUUAUUACAUAUAACAUGGGCAUUUUAAGCAUUCUAAAAAUCGUAAUAAAUGUAUUUAGCAUGAACAUGCAUGAAUUAAUAGUAUACGAAACACUUAUCACCAAAUAUGAGGAUUUCUCAUAUUAUAGGCUAGGUCAAACCCACCGACGACAAUGAAGCUUUUCGUUUGCUCCAACGGAGAUAUCCCCUAGCUUCCUAGCACCCUAGGAACAUCAAAAAUGGUGUCAUCCAAUCAAUACGAAGAGCAAUAAGCUCAAUCUUUAACCUAGGAGCAAAAAGGGCCAAACUCACCUCAAGAGUAGAAAUCUUCUCCUAAGCUCCAAAAGAGAGCUAGGGUUCAUCCAAUCCAAGCCCAAGGAAGGUUCGAAACCAACCAAUCAAGCCUCAAAAGCCCUAGGUUCAAAAAGUCCAAAAUAAACCCUAAGUCCCAAAACUAGGGUUUCAUCUCAAAGAAAGCUCUAAAAUCCAAAACUAGAGGAAAGGAUCUUGCCACUUACCUCUUAGAAGCCUCAAAACCAGCUCAAAGUCCUCAAACUUCAAGUAGCUUCCCUCAAUAAAACUCCAAACCCAAGCUCCAAGCUCCAACAAUGGUGGAAAUAGCUUCAAUAGGGAAAAAGAGAGGAAAAUCCAUCAAAAUCCAAGAAAUUGGAGAUCAAAUCCAAGUAGGGGAAAAGAGGGGCUCCCUACCUUGCUCCUCCUCAGGUUCCAGCACAAGAGAGGCCCUAUGGGCGUGGGUGCUGUUAUAACGGUGUCACAAUCGCAAAUAAGCCCCUGCAGAACAAACUGCUCAAAAUCUGCCGCCUUGUACCGGUACACGGGCCCUUGUACCGGUACAAGGUCCACGAAAUCCAAACCCGAGGCUCGGGUUGCGCUGUUCUGCGGCACUGUACCGGUACAAGCUCCGAUGGCUAUACCGGUACAACCAUCAACCCUUGUACCGGUACAAGCACAACCUUGUACCGGUACAAGCCUGCCAGAACUCAAUCCGAGAGCUGACCAAAAUCCAAAUUUUUGGGUUUCGGUGCAAGGCUUUGUACCACACUCCUCGGGACGCGUGCCAUAAGUCGGAACACAGUCAACGACCUACCAGAAAAUCUGGAAAAGCUCAGAGCACAGCUAAUCACCCGAACCUCGCAAUUUGCAAAGGUCCAGUGUGUUACAGUCCCGCAGACGGUCUCGGUGUGCGAGUGCAGAUUCUCCUCACCUAUGAGAUUGAAAGUGAGUCGGGGUUAACCCCGGGGUGGCAACCUUCGGGUUAGCCAUGAGAUUGGAUACUAUCGAGGCAUAGUUGCACGACGCACUAUGUAGUAGCUCGUUCAUUUGGAUUAUUGAGGCAUAGUAGCAUGUGCAGAUACAUCACUAUAUAGCAGCUCAUUUCUUUAUUGUUGAGACAUAGUAGCAUGUUGUAGAUACAUCACUAUGUAGUAGCUCAUUUCUAUUGUUGUUGAAGCAUAGUAUCAUGAUUAGUAGAAUAUCAUUGCUAUGUUCAUGCAUUCCAUGAUUACAGAGGCAUAGUAGCAUGUGUAUAUUCCAUUACUAUGUAGCAGCUCGUACUUAGUAGAGCGAGAUUGAGUCGGGCGAGGAGCGGGGUAGCUCUUUGCCUAGGACCUUCGAGAUUGAGUCGGGCAAGGAGCGGGGUAGCUCUUUGUCUAGGACCUUUGAGAUUUGAGAUCUUAGGCAAGUUGGCCUAGUCGAUUGGGUUGUAACAUGAAUAGCAUAAGUGGAUUGCAUUCAUGCCAUGAUUGGACAUAGUAGACUGCAUAACUAUGUUGUAGUUGUAUUUAUUACACUGUUGAAGCAUACUAGCAUGAUAGUAGGUUAUUGCUAGAUGAUGUUCCAUGCAUUCUUUGCAUUUGAUGGCAUAGUAGAUAUAGUAGCAAUGUAUUUCUAUCUACCUUUCUAUCUAUCUAUCUGUGCCAGCUUGGACCUAGUGGGAAAACCGGCGGCGUCGGCGGCCGAACCCACUGGGAACUAUAUUUAUAUAGUUCUCACCCCGUGUGGUUUUGGGGUAUAGGUACACACGAGAGCGUACCGGCAGAGGACCGUGGUAAGGGCACAGCGCCCUAGUAGCUAGUAGCUUUCCUUAUGCAUUAGAGUGCCCUCGUGUACAUAGAGAUGUAAAUGUAUUUGGAAGUUACUUAUGUAUUUGGAAAGACAUUUUGUAUUAUGAGAAUAAUAUGUAUUCAUUUGGGAAGAUGAAAAUGUAAAUCAAUAUGAAAAUUGAGGUUGAAUGAAUGUAAUAGCUAGAUGUAUCUCUCUUUAUUUCACUUGUAUGUUACUUGUGAUUCUUGCUCUUAGAUGUAUUGCACCUGUGUGCAUCGUGUUCGAUCAUGUAUGUUAUUUAAGCAUUCCCUGGGCGCUUAACUGUACAUGAUCUGGUUGCUUAGCCUUGGGCGGACAGGAGAGGUGCUGUCCGUUCGGCGUCUGAUCGACGUGCCCGGAUCUUGCCAAAUUGGCGGGUCGCGGGGCGUGACAGAUGGUCGUGGUAUCAGAGCAAGCUAAGAGCAAGUAAAGAGAGAGUUUAGGAUGACCUAGGAGACCCUAGGACAGUAAACCGUAAGGUUAUAGGUGCGUGAGUGGAACGUGAACCUAUAACGGUGGCGGAAGUUGAAUCGAUUGGGUCAAGUUAGUAAACCUCUAAGACAGAUGUUAGAGGUGGAUUCAAGGUUCAAUUUAUUCUCACUAGAGGAUGUUCAUGUUGGAUGCAUACAACAUGAAACCGAGAGAUGAGAAUAGGCACCCUUGUAUGACUUUCGCCUGAUUUGAGUCAAGCUGAUGUUAGUUGUUACGUGUUCGACCUAGAGGGUCGAGACCAACUGUGUUGUCGCGGUUUAGGAGAUCGACAAUGGUACCGCGUAGGCGAUCUUCGUUUAGAUCGGCGCGGGACGGGACAAGUGAUGUCCCAGAACGAUUCAAGCGAGCGGAGAAUGCAAACUUCGCUAUUGGUUGGCCACGCUCGUGGGAGUGAUGAGGCCACGAGUCGGUGGAUCGGUUGGCGAUCGCACCAGUUUUGGCACGUCGAGUACGGCCGGGAUUCGCGACGGAGGUGUUUCCGUCGGGGUCGGGCAAUCCGACUUCUAGCACUCCAAAGGUUGAGGCGGUGAGGGAGCGAGCGUCGAUGGCCCUCAUGAUUUUUACGGAAUUUGAUCCGCCUACCUUUGAUGGAGAGAAUGUAGAUCCGCAGAUUGUGGAGUUGUGGAUUGAUUCCAUGGAAACUCUAAUAGAGGAUCUAUGCUUAGUGCAAACGGGAGUUCUCCCAUAUCUCCAGUUACAUCCUAAACAUAGUACGGGAUGACGACGAUAUGGCCGAUUUGUUUGUGCGGAGACUUCGGCUAAAUAUUGUCAAGGUUGUGCAUGUAAGGAAGUGAAUUCUCGAAAUUUGAGAGUUUGACUUCGUUUAAAAUCGACCAUGUGUCGAGUUGGUGCACUUCGGAAUGUCCGAAAAUGCCAAAGAGGCAAAGAGUGCAUCGUAACGGACCUCGCCUUUCCCGUCUGUUGCAUCGGCUUUGGCGAUUUCGGGCCAUUAUGAAGGAGCCCUACCUACUGUUGCUUUAGCUAGACGCGCGAUGGCACCUCGUCAGCCAGAGGUGGCCCGUCGACUACGAGUGGCUGGGUGUUUGCCACUCAAGUCGAGGAACUUGCUGCCGCUAAUGAUGUCUUGGUAGGUAUGGCUUAAUACAAGCAAGCAGGUAUUUCGGCGUAAUGCGGAAUAGAUGCAUUGCAGACAUUUCCAUGGUCAGUUGCUACUAAUUAUGCAUUAGUAUAGUAGGGACCAGUGGANUCUUGCUUCUUCUUCUUCUUCUCCAAGCCCUAGAGCAAGAGUUCUAGAGAGAGAAAGAGAGGAAAAGGGAGAGAAGGGUAAAAUGGCUGUGGGAGAGAGAGGGGUGUCCACAUAUAGUGUUGUGACAAUUGCAUUUAAGCCCCUCAACUUAUUUCCCCUUGAUCUGCCCAGACUGGGCGUUUUUCGCCUUCGGGGACCAGUCUCCCCGACCAGGGACCGGUUCCCGAACGUGGGUGUUCCAGGACUUAGCCAAAUUUUCUAGUCUUUCGGCUGUUGCACAGCGAGGGACCGGUCUGCCCCUUCAGGGACCGGUCUCCCAAGGACCGGUCUCACUACCAGGGACCGGUUGCCUCAAGACUUCCUGGCAGGCUACGCGUACGGGGACCGGUCUCUCCUUCAGGGACCGGUCCCCGAGAGCACAAAAUCUGGGACUUAGCCAGAUUUCCAGAUUACUCUCUCGGGUCCCUUUUAGCCUCACUUAUGGACUCUAAUGUGCUCAUGGUCCACUCAAACUCAUUCAUCUCCGCAGUCCGCUCAUUUCGACGGAACUCGGCACGAUUUACGAGGGAUGUGGUAUGUUACAUGGAGGAAGUAGCACCAAGGAGUAAAAGAGAAGAUCAAACCACUAAAUAUCAUGCAAAAAGGGGAUCAAAUCCAAAGAGGGGAAAACAGGAGGUCCCCUACCUUGUCUCCACUGCCUCUCAGCUCAGGGAAGGCCCUAAGGAGCGUGGGGUAUGUAUAGAGUUGCUACAAAAGCGAAUACACCCCUCAAAGCUGCAGUUCUCGCAGUCUGCCAAAGUGUAGCGGUACACGGAAAAGUGUACCGGUACAAAUCCCGCGAACUCACAAACCCGACCUUCGGGUUGGCUAAAAACCACAAAUGUACCGGUACAACUAUCAAAGUGUACUGGUACAAAAUGUGUUCCAGUACAACCAUCAAGAUUGUACCGAUACACAACCCUGCUGAAGCAAACCCGAGAGCAAACCAAACAUUCAACUUUUUGGAUUUUGGUGCACAGUUAUAAACCUCAAUUCUCGGGAUGUGAGCCAUAGGUCGGAACACUGUCUACGACCCUCCAGAAUAUCUGGAAAAACUCAGAUCACAGAUUAAACAAUCGAACCUUGCAAUUUGCAAAAAUCCAGUGUGUUACAUUCUCCCCUCCUUAAAAGGAGUUUCGUCCGCGAAACUGCGGGUCAACCACGAAACAGACCCAUCCAAAAAGGAUGGAAGAAGCGCUCCAACAGCGCAUAGAUCAGACCAUGAAGGUCUCAAGCAUGACGGAAUGCUCCUCGGCAAAACACACAAGGUCCCACGAUGCCAAGACUUGGCAUAACUCAAGUAAAGCUUCCACUGAAGUUCUUCGAACUCAAGGCUUUACCGGAAGUUCCAUCUCUAGUCCGUGCCUGAUCACCAAGUCCAUCAGUCGGUUCUCACGAAACCAAGUAUUCCCAAAAGCUGAAUUCUCGUUCUCACCUUCCUCGUUCAAGUCGAGGGUAGGCCUUGCUCUGCUUCAAUUACUCUAGUAUAUAGAAUUCCAUCCAAAUACCUGUAGGAUACCGAACUUCUAAAAUUAUGAAGUUACGGUGGGAUGUAAUAUGCGGAUUUUAAUGUAAAAAGGGAAAUAAAUAAAAAUAGUAUGAGAUACUAUUUUUAUUAGAUUUAGAGAAGUGAAAUAUAAGUUUGGAAUGACCCGUGUUGAAAUCAGAGCGAAAACAGAAGAUUUAGAUUUUCUGUGAGAAACGGGGCAGAUAAAUUAGCAGAAAAUGCACAGUCUCAGAAAAUUAUGAAAACUAGCGGGGAUGCCAGAAAUAUUUUAAUGAGGCUAGAUUUAGAGUUUCAUAUUUUUCUGACACCCGUAGAGUGAGAACUAAAAUCCGACAGUUAUCUGAUAAAGAUUACAGUUCGGUACAGCUUUCGGUGACCAAACGGGGUCGAAACUGAAAGAUUAAAAUUUCUUUCGUUAAGUUAAGCAAAACCGAAUAUGACUGUCAAAUUUGAGCUCAAACGGAUAUUCAGGGAGUUCCGGCGAAAGAUAUCAGAUUUGGAGCUGCCUGAUGUGAAUAGUGUAUGCUACUAUUGAGGGUUGACUAUAAGUAGAAGCUUCUAGUGACUUGGCUUCUUCUUCACAGCCAAGCACCACCCCCACAAGAGCACGUUCAUGGUGUAGUGAGAGAAACCCUCUCUUUCUCUCUCUAAAUAUCUCUCUCAUCUCUCUAGAUCUUUCGCCCAAAUUCGCGGCGUUGGUGGAGAUCGAGCUUGCGAACGCGUUGGGAGCGACGGAUCGAGUUUUCGUGCGCCCGUUGGAUUGGCGUGCUUUCGUCUCGGCGUUCAUAUUUUGGUAAGCUAUCGGGAUUUGGCUUAAUCCUUAAGUUUAAGUGUUCUAAUAGCCUCUAAUGUGAAGUUAGCUUGUUAAAUCCUUAAUAUUUGGAUUGUUUGGAGCAUAUGUUGAGGCUAAGGUGUGAAAAUGGGGGUUUACAAAUUAGGUGGGGUUUGAUCUAAUUUGACCCUUCGUAAACCUAAUUGCUAGGUAAACGAACGCGUUGGUGAAGUCGGUUCGGCGAUUCGUCGAGCCUACGCGAAGUUAUUAAAGAAACAGACGUUUAGGCUUCGUUUCCGCCUGGAGGGCCGAGGCGACGUCGUAAAAUCAUGAAAAUGGAUUUGAAGCAUCGUGGCACAUAACCGAAGACCUUUAAUUUUCGGAUCGUGAAUUGGAGGCCGUUCGGGUGGUCGCGCGAGAGAUCGGGCCAAACCGGGUGCCGGGUGCCGCGGGAGGCCGAUUGCAAGUGUCGACAAGCAAUCGGAAUGCGAUAAAAGGUGGGGGGUGUCAUCCCGAAGCAACUGAGCUUCCUUUUAUGUCUAAGUUCUAUAUCUUGAUCAUAUUCCUAUAUGUUGAUAUAUUGUGCAUUAUAGGAUUAGUAGAUGAUUACAUUUCCAUUCCUUGCAUGUUACCUAGGUUGUGUAGCAUUGUGGGCUUGACACUUGAUCUUAGGUUGCAUGAGGAUUGGGUCUUGUGACAAGAAUCCUAUAGUGACAAGAAUGAUGAUGAACUUGGACAUGUAAUUGGCCUAGACGAGUGGCAUUUGGACUAGUGUAACAAAGACACUAUAAUAUUGACGAGUGGCAUGUCGAUUUAGUGUAUUAAGACACAUAUAACAUCAUGACAUAAACGAGUGGCAUCAAAUCUAGUGUAGUGAAACACUAUGGCAUUUGAACCUAGGGAUAGUAGAUUUUCCCGAUUGUCAUGUUGUAGACAUUAUGCAUUUGGCAUUAGUGCAUUUGAGGCAUUGAUUAUGCAUUUGGUAUUGUGCAGCAGAGGCACAUUGACCCUGGUAGAUAGGGUAUCCUCUUGUGAGGAUUGGAUCAUACUCACUAGUCUGUUUUUGCUUGUCGGUGGUCGCUCCACCGAAGCACGAGUCUCCGGAGUACUUCACUAGGGGCAGACGUAGUUGUCCCGCAGACGGUCUCGGUGUGCGAGUGCAGAUUCUCCUCACCUAUGAGAUUGAGAGUGAGUCGGGGUUGACCCCGGGGUGGCAACCUUCAGGUUAGCCAUGAGAUUGGAUACUAUCGAGGCAUAGUUGCACGACGCACUAUGUAGUAGCUCGUUCAUUCGGAUUAUUGAGGCAUAGUAGCAUGUGCAGAUACAUCACUAUGUAGUAGCUCAUUUCCAAGCAGAUUGGGUAAAGAAUAUGAAUGGCAUAGCAGAUUUGCAUUCAUACCUUGAGUUGACAUUGAGACAUAGUAGCAUGUUGUAGAUACAUCACUAUGUAGUAGCUCAUUUCCAUUAUUGUUGAAGCAUAGUAUCAUGAUUAGUAGAAUAUCAUUGCUAUGUUCAUGCAUUCCAUGAUUACAGAGGCAUAGUAGCAUGUGUAUAUUCCAUUACUAUGUAGCAGCUCGUACUUAGUAGAGCGAGAUUGAGUCGGGCGAGGAGCGGGGUAGCUCUUUGCCUAGGACCUUCGAGAUUGAGUCGGGCAAGGAGCGGGGUAGCUCUUUGUCUAGGACCUUUGAGAUUUGAGAUCUUAGGCAAGUUGGCCUAGUCGAUUGGGUUGUAACAUGAAUAGCAUAAGUGGAUUGCAUUCAUGCCAUGAUUGGACAUAGUAGACUGCAUAACUAUGUUGUAGUUGUAUUUAUUACACUGUUGAAGCAUACUAGCAUGAUAGUAGGUUAUUGCUAGAUGAUGUUCCAUGCAUUCUUUGCAUUUGAUGGCAUAGUAGAUAUAGUAGCAAUGUAUUUCUAUCUACCUUUCUAUCUAUCUAUCUGUGCCAGCUUAGACCUAGUGGGAAAACCGGCGGCGUCGGCGGCCGAACCCACUGGGAACUAUAUUUAUAUAGUUCUCACCCCGUGUGGUUUUGGGGUACAGGUACACACAGGAGCGUACCGGCAGAGGACCGUGGUAAGGGCACAGCGCCCUAGUAGCUAGUAGCUUUCCUUAUGCAUUAGAGUACCCUCGUGUACAUAGAGAUGUAAAUGUAUUUGGAAGUUACUUAUGUAUUUGGAAAGACAUUUUGUAUUAUGAGAAUAAUAUGUAUUCAUUUGGAAAGAUGAAAAUGUAAAUCAAUAUGAAAAAAAUGAGGUUGAAUGAAUGUAAUAGCUAGAUGUAUCUCUCUUUAUUUCACUUGUAUGUUACUUGUGAUUCUUGCUCUUAGAUGUAUUGCACCUGUGUGCAUCGUGUUCGAUCAUGUAUGUUAUUUAAGCAUUCCCUGGGCGCUUAACUGUAUAUGAUCUGGUUGCUUAGCCUUGGGCGGACAGGAGAGGUGCUGUUCGUUCGGCGUCUGAUCGACGUGCCCGGAUCUGGCCAAAUUGGCGGGUCGCGGGGCGUGACAAUACCCCUCAAGGGUGGAUUCCAUGGUGUUGUCCAAAGCAAGCGUAAGGGGGUUAAAUCCAUUACUCAUCUAUCAAAACUCCAUCGAAGUGCUCAUCUGAUCAACACUUCCCAAGGAGAGGUGAUGCAACAUCCACUCAUCGGCUCAUAUUCCAACGAUGAUCCUUCAAAUCCAAGAUCAAGUCUCUUCUCGAGAUGGCACAACUGAGUGCAAUUCAAUCCAAGGUUAAGUAUGGUAUACCCUUUCCAUCUCGUUGCUAUUUGCAACGUCCAUCCAUCCAUCCAAUCUUGCUUGGCGCGAACGGUUCCAAAUCAACAUCCGAGGUAGCCAUCCUUCCAAUAGUAACUGGAAUCGACUCAUCGUCCAAACUCGCUCAUCAUGGCGAUUAUUUAAUUCCUCAAUCGACACAGCACUACGAUGCCUCCACAUCAAUCUCAAACUCACCACUCGGGAGUACCCUCAAAUCCGCUGCAAUACAUGGUCAGGGACCAAAGCUCAGGAGCUUCGUCAUUCCACUAAGAUCAUCAUCUUAGUCUCAACUCAAGUCCAAGUAAACUCUUCGCAAGCCUAAGCCAAAGGCUCAACUUCGAUAGAAUGUCUCAUACAUUAAUCAUUCAGUUGCUCCAUAAGAAUCAUUCAAAAAUUUUCAUCCUCAAUGCUUUCCUUAGCAUCGGAUGCUCCAAGUGUUCAUAGUCACCGAGCCCAUCUCAAGUGAUAGAGAGGGAUCAAUCCGCAAUUCAAUAAUAGCUCUCUAUCAAUGUCAUCCUAAUGUGACCAUCAACCAAAGAUACGAAUCCAACAACUCUCUCACGCAGUUCCAUCCCCCAGAUUUUAAUUCCUAGUGCAUAAACUGGGCAAGGGGAAAAAUAGCAACUUGGUAUUUUUUCCUCUCGAGUUUCUCAACCACUCGAUCCAACAGUGGGAGUUUCACACAUCGAUCAUGUCAAUCUGCCCCACAGUCGGCCCUCGCAAUCCUUCGUAGGAAUACUCACUGCUAUCCACGACCGGUUCCACAAAUCCAUCCAAAGGGCUUGGAAUUAUCAUUCCAUAAGUCCCUAACACUGGUGGAGUACUACAGGCUUAGGCAACAUCACCCUCGUGAUGUCCCCACCUAGCAUCACAAUCCGUUUUGAGGUACGACCUCAAACUCCAACAUCAAACAGUACUACUCAGAUUGCUUACAAUCUUAUCGAGUACACCAACAACUUGAGGCCAUUUGACAAGGUCAAUGAGCCUCAGCACGGUCCAAAUAUCCAAUCGUGGUUCAAUUUGAAUCACGAUAGUCGACAUACAGUCGAAACGGCCCAACCGGUCCCACAACAAGUGAAAGUGCUCCUCCGCAAGCAAAACACUAACUAUAAAACCUCCCCGCCAAUCGAGUUCACAGUUUGUGACUCGGUCGGAGACACAACGACAGAUCAAAGACAUCCUUCAUUCCGAGGAUCCUUGAUCACCAGAAACUAAUGGCCAAUUAGGCCCCAAAUCCUCUCCAACACUUACCCAAUUUUAGAUAAGGGAGACAGUCAAUGCUACUAGUGGAAAUAAAUCCUCAAAUCGCACUAUUUCAUGCUCAAAAUCCUCGAAGCUAGUCAAGUCAGCUCGCAAUACCAAAGGUACCAAGUACCUAUAAUCUCCACACCAAGUAAGGCCAAUCCAUUUGUUGGCGUACAAAAUCCUCUCAAAGGGUAGGGUGUUCAAAAUGACACACCCGGUCUUCCGAUCAUCCUACAUGCAUCGAAAAUGAUCAAUGCAAACAAAUCCUCGGGUCGGGUCACUACACACUCGGUGUAUCCUCGAUCCCAUGAUCUAACACGUGGCAUACCACACUCCUGGGUCUAAGCUCAGACUACCGUCCUGACCAAAACUCUGCCCUACCCGUAGGUACCGGGCUGCUGUCGUACACAGCUGACUGCGCCUGCCCAAAGGGCCCAGGCUCCAUAGUCUACAAACGGUCCAGGCACGGGACGUCCCCAAGCUCCAACCGGCAAACAGCCGACCAAGGGAUGCAAACAAUACAAUCAUCGUGAGAUCCACAAAGCAUAGCAAAACAUGCUACCCGCAACCCGCAAAUCAACCUCCUAACUCGGGAGGUGCCAAUCAUCAUCGCAAACAGCGAUCAAACGGUAUGCCAUACAACUCGGCGAAUAGCCGAUCAAAGAAUAGAUGCAAUGCACUGGUAUAAAAUAAUGCACAAAUCGAAUGCCACAAAACAGACAGAUACCUGUAGCCACAAGCUCGGCUGCUGCCGCCUCCGCGGUCUGGGCUGCAUACAUGCGCCCGAUCGGGGCCUGCCGUGACCCCUCCGUCUGUCUCUGGACAGGUGGCCUCCCGGCCUGAUUGUGAGUAGAAGGCGUCCCCUGGCUGGGACCCGGUAACACUGGUGCUGAUGCAGAAGAUGGCCCUAGUACUGAACCCCUCGGGCAGUCCGACUGGAUGUAGCCCUCCUGACCACACAAGUAACACCUGCCCUGCCUCUAAGAGCACUAUCGUGGGUAAUGACGACCACCGCAGAUCACGUAACUUAGAGUCUGGCGACGCUCAGAUCCUCCACGCUGUGCAGAUGAGCCACGUCCUCGCGAUUGGCUCCUGUUCCUAGAAUAUCUCGGCGGCCUCCCAGAGUGCGUCUGACUCGCACCCUCAGCCGCAGGCCUCUUGCCUUUUCCUUUGUCCGAGCCUCUUCGACGCUCUUGCAAGUCCGCCGCGCCGCUCUUCACGAUGAACGCGCGGUUCACCACAUCUCAGUAAGUCUGAAGGUUGGAGGAUUGCACCAACCAAAAGAUCGAUGGCCGUAGUCCUCGCUCAAAGAUGCGGGCCUUGUCCUCGUCAUCCCGCACAACGAAGGGCACAUAGUGUAAAAGCCGAGAGAACUCCCUCUCAUACUCGGUCACAGUCCUAUCCUCCUGGCGCAUAUUGCGCAGAUCCUGCUCCAUCUUCCUCUUGACACUGUCGGGGAAGUAGUGCUCUAACAGAAGUUCCUUGAACUUCUUCCACGUAAUCGCCGCAAGGUCGGUGUUGGGGUUGUCCUGGAUACCCAACCACCAGCUGUAGGCCUCGCCGUCCAAAUAGUGAAUAGCGAGCCAAACUCUGUCCCUCUCCUCCACGAAAGUGUCGCGGAAUAACUUCUCCAUGUGCAUCAACCACUUCUCAACGAUCCAGUGGUCGGCUUUCUUUCCAUCGAAGAUCCUGGGGCUACACCUCCUGAACUCAUUGAGGCGAUUCAUGAGCCGCUCCUGCUCCGCCCCCUCAACCAUCAUGGGAAAAACCGCCACUGCCACAGGCACCUGUGCUGGUGGUGCCGCAAAUACCUUCUCCCGAGGUGCUACCGCAAAUGCCGUCGGCAAAGUGCCGAGUGCAGGGGACGACCCCCUAGGUGCAACCGUCUCUACCGGCGCUGGUGGUACAGGGGCCUGAGUCUCCCUGGCAGCCGCCUGCUGUAGUAGAAGAUCCUAUAGGCGCUGCAUCCGUGCCUCCUGCCAGUGCGCCGCAUCUGCAUGCUGUCGAGCCGCCGCCACCUGCUGCGUCACCAAGUCAGUGAGGGCCACAAGCUGGCUCCUCAACUCACGGACCUCGCCAAAUCCGAAGGUAGCGGAUGUCUCCGCCUCCUCAAAGGUUGCCGCGUCGUACGCUCCAACAGACUUAGAGCGUACAGUCAGCAUCAUCACAUCAACAUCAUAAAAGCGCAAGUUAAUAAAACCCACGCUAUCGCAACCCCACUCAAAUACCAAUGCCCAAAUCCUACGAAAGUAAGGAAGUGUCUUAUACUGCUAACUCCCGAUGUUACGUUGUCGGCCACCAACGUAACCCUCCGCGUAGUUAGAAGCCAUACACUUCAAUCGAACUCCAACUUCUUGGAGUUAUCAAAGAAACCCAAUCAUGAUACUUUCGCUUACAAAUCAAAUAGACCUCGUCUCUCACGAGUCUAAUUCCUAUAGUCCAAUCGGCCUAAGAUUUGCUAGGUCCGCUAAGACUCAACCCUAGGCUCUGAUACCAAAUUAAUCUGUCACGCCCCGGGACCAGGCGUAGGCCCGCCCGGUGCGUGCCCAGACCCGCCAUAUGUCUGCACAUAUAAGGCGUCUACAACAAAAACGGAUAAAUGAACAAGAAGUUGAAAGUAUCUAGAGAUAUUAGAGCAAAUACACAGCUAGGUUCUAUCGACAAGUAGAGUCAAAAAGAGAACUGAACCACUAAAGCAUAAAGUAAACUAAUACAUCAUAAAUCUCAAGAUACAAAAAUAGGGUGGUCUCUAUAACCAGGAACAAAACUCUCACAACCUCUCCAAAAGAAAACAAAAGAGAGGUGGACCACCUAUCACCAAGUCCCUCGAUAGCUAACUCGAGGCGAAAUCUUUUCUGCGAUCCCAAGCCUCUUCCGGAGUGGAAGUGUCACGCCCCGGGACAAGCGAAGGCCCUCCCGGUAGCGCGCCCAGACCCGCCAUAUGUCUACACAUAUAAGGCGUCUACAACAAAGGCGGAAGUAAAGCAAGAAGUAGAACAAAUAGCAUAAUGAUAACUAAUGAUAUCAGAGCGAGUAAAGUUCUAUCAUCUAAACCAGAGUAAAAGAAACAUAACUAAACAAUAAAAGUAGCCAUAAAGUAGUACAAUACUAUCUCCUCAAAAGGAAAACAAUGAUCCAAAAGAAUGGUGGUCUCUAUACAUAAACGGGUACAACUCACAACCUCUCACAAAAUAAACCACGAGAGGUAGACCACCUAUCAAAUCGUCCUCGAAGGAAGCUAGCUCGAAGCAACUCCCUUCCCGCGGUCCCUAGCCUCUCCCGACGUGGAAGGCUCUGAAAGAAGACAUAAAACAGAGGGCGUGAGAACUAUAAUUUAUAGUUCCCAGUGGGCAAUUACUGACCUCAGCUCAUUGCACCACUAGGCCCAAAAGAAAAGGGGUAAGUAACGACAAAUAGUGAUAAGCGAUAAUUGGCGAGUAUAAAAACUGCUGAAAGGAAGCAUGAAUGAAAUGCUAUACUACUAUGUCUCCAAUAAGCAUGAUGUCAUGGUGAUGUACAUCUACGCUAUCAUAAGGUAAUAUAUCCAAUGCAUACUAAUAUGCCUCAACAUGAUGAACAAGUAAACCUCACAAUACAAUAUAUCAAGACAACCCAGUAUACUAUGAUGCAAUGCAUGAAACCG
rnacentral:lncRNA from 1 species